GACGAACGCUGGCGGCGUGCUUAACACAUGCAAGUCGAGCGGUAAGGCCCUUUCGGGGGUACACGAGCGGCGAACGGGUGAGUAACACGUGGGUGACCUGCCCUCAGCUCUGGGAUAAGCCUGGGAAACCGGGUCUAAUACCGGAUAUGACUCCAUGACGCAUGUUGUGGGGUGGAAAGCCUUGUGCGGCUGAGGAUGGGCCCGCGGCCUAUCAGCUUGUUGGUGGGGUGANGGCCUACCAAGGCGACGACGGGUAGCCGGCCUGAGAGGGCGACCGGCCACACUGGGACUGGGACACGGCCCAGACUCCUACGGGAGGCAGCAGUGGGGAAUAUUGGACAAUGGGGGCAACCCUGAUCCAGCGACGCCGCGUGUGUGAAGAAGGCCUGCGGGUU
rnacentral:rRNA from 1 species